GGAUGUGAGGAUGAUCUGGCUAUGACAUCUGUCACCCCAUUGAUUGCCAGGGUUGAUUCAACUGAUCUGGCUGGCUAGGUGCAUGUCCCCUUCCUUCUCCCUCACCGUUUCAUUUGCAUCCCUCUCUAAGUUGCUCUGAGUGGAAGAGGACGACCUUCCCUGAAUAGAGGAGGGUGGGUCUUGGGUAAAGGGUACACAAAUAGGUGCACUCCCCCGUUAGAACCUCCAAACAAUUCUUAAAUGAAAUGCACCUAUAAAAUUCCUAAAAUCAGACAACUUUAAGUGAAGGUGAGUGUU
rnacentral:snRNA from 1 species